UACGAAGGGGGGCUAGCGUUGCUCGGAAUCACUGGGCGUAAAGGGCGCGUAGGCGGCCGAUUAAGUCAGGCGUGAAAGCCCUGGGCUCAACCCGGGAAUUGCGCUUGAUACUGGUGCGCUUGAAUCCAGGAGAGGUUGGUGGAAUUCCCAGUGAUAGAGGGUGAAAUUCGUAGAGAUUGGGGAAGAACACCGGUGGCGAAGGCAGCCCCCUGGGCUAACACUGACGCUGAUGCACGAAAGCGUGGGGAGCAAACGGGG
rnacentral:rRNA from 1 species